rnacentral:rRNA from 1 species
UACGUAGGGCGCAAGCGUUGUCCGGAAUUAUUGGGCGUAAAGAGCUCGUAGGCGGUUUGUCGCGUCUGCUGUGAAAACCUAAGGCUCAACCUUGGGCUUGCAGUGGGUACGGGCAGACUAGAGUGCGGUAGGGGUGACUGGAAUUCCUGGUGUAGCGGUGAAAUGCGCAGAUAUCAGGAGGAACACCGGUGGCGAAGGCGGGUCUCUGGGCAGUAACUGACGCUGAGGAGCGAAAGCGUGGGGAGCGAACAGG